rnacentral:rRNA from 1 species
GGCGUAAAGGGCUCGCAGGCGGUUUUUUAAGUUCUGAUGUGAAAGCCCCCGGCUUAACCGGGGAGGGUCAUUGGAAACUGGGGAACUUUGAGUGCAGAAGAGGAGAGUGGAAUUCCACGUGUAGCGGUGAAAUUGCGUAGAGAUGUGGAGGAACACCAGUGGCGAAGGCGACUCUCUGGUCUGUAACUGACGCUGAGGAGCGAAAGCGUGGGGAGCGAACAGGAUUAGAUACCCUGGUAGUCCACGCCGUAAACGAUGAGUGCUAAGUGUUAGGGGGUUUCCGCCCCUUAGUGCUGCAGCUAACGCAUUAAGCACUCCGCCUGGGGAGUACGGUCGCAAGACUGAAACUCAAAGGAAUUGACGGGGGCCCGCACAAGCGGUGGAGCAUGUGGUUUAAUUCGAAGCAACGCGAAGAACCUUACCAGGUCUUGACAUCCUCUGACAAUCCUAGAGAUAGGACGUCCCCUUCGGGGGCAGAGUGACAGGUGGUGCAUGGUUGUCGUCAGCUCGUGUCGUGAGAUGUUGGGUUAAGUCCCGCAACGAGCGCAACCCUUGAUCUUAGUUGCCAGCAUUCAGUUGGGCACUCUAAGGUGACUGCCGGUGACAAACCGGAGGAAGGUGGGGAUGACGUCAAAUCAUCAUGCCCCUUAUGACCUGGGCUACACACGUGCUACAAUGGACAGAACAAAGGGCAGCGAAACCGCGAGGUUAAGCCAAUCCCACAAAUCUGUUCUCAGUUCGGAUCGCAGUCUGCAACUCGACUGCGUGAAGCUGGAAUCGCUAGUAAUCGCG